CCGAGUACGAACGCUCAGCGUUCACUCUCUCACCCUUGUGUAACGUUCAAGUAACUUACUGCUUCGGCGACUGUCAGCAGUUGCCGGCGGCACAUCACACUCAUUGUCAUUGAAGUCUGAGAAACAUCAAACCAAUCA
rnacentral:misc_RNA from 1 species